UACGUAGGGUGCAAGCGUUAAUCGGAAUUACUGGGCGUAAAGCGUGCGUAGGCGGUUGCGCAAGACAGGUGUGAAAGCCCCGGGCUCAACCUGGGAAUUGCGGUUGAAACUGGCGGACUAGAAUCUGGCAGAGGGGGGUGGAAUUCCACGUGUAGCAGUGAAAUGCGUAGAGAUGUGGAGGAACACCGAUGGCGAAGGCAGCCCCCUGGGCUGAGAUUGACGCUCAGGCACGAAAGCGUGGGGAGCAAACAGG
rnacentral:rRNA from 1 species